rnacentral:rRNA from 1 species
AUACCGUAUACUAUCUAAGGAUGAAAGUGGGGGAUCGCAAGACCUCGUGCUCCUGGAGCGGCCGAUAUCUGAUUAGCUAGUUGGUAGGGUAAAAGCCUACCAAGGCAUCGAUCAGUAGCUGGUCUGAGAGGACGACCAGCCACACUGGAACUGAGACACGGUCCAGACUCCUACGGGAGGCAGCAGUGGGGAAUUUUGGACAAUGGGGGCAACCCUGAUCCAGCAAUGCCGCGUGAGUGAAGAAGGCCUUCGGGUUGUAAAGCUCUUUUGUCAGGGAAGAAACGGUGUGGGCUAAUAUCCCAUGCUAAUGACGGUACCUGAAGAAUAAGCACCGGCUAACUACGUGCCAGCAGCCGCGGUAAUACGUAGGGUGCAAGCGUUAAUCGGAAUUACUGGGCGUAAAGCGUGCGCAGGCGGUUUUGUAAGACUGUCGUGAAAUCCCCGGGCUCAACCUGGGAAUGGCGAUGGUGACUGCAAGGCUAGAGUUUGGCAGAGGGGGGUAGAAUUCCACGUGUAGCAGUGAAAUGCGUAGAUAUGUGGAGGAACACCGAUGGCGAAGGCAGCCCCCUGGGUCAAAACUGACGCUCAUGCACGAAAGCGUGGGGAGCAAACAGGAUUAGAUACCCUGGUAGUCCACGCCCUAAACGAUGUCUACUAGUUGUCGGGUUUUAAUUAACUUGGUAACGCAGCUAACGCGUGAAGUAGACCGCCUGGGGAGUACGGUCGCAAGAUUAAAACUCAAAGGAAUUGACGGGGACCCGCA